CGGCCACUUCUCGAUAUUGUGCCAAUUCCAGUUUUGAACUACCGCCGUAGGACUCUGAAGUCAGGGAUAUGAGGCUCGGUCUACAGGCCUUACGUCAAAGCCCGGGAACAGAUGGGAAGUGCACCAACGCUCGGAUAUGAAUUGGAACCCCCUCCGAAAUUCGGUUAAUACUAUAAUAGAUUCCCAAUCCCAUUCCACAAUCUACGCUACGGGUCAGGGAGGCUAACCAUAUGAGGAGCCCUACCACUAGGACUUGUUCAAGCAACAAGUUGGUAUGGCC
rnacentral:lncRNA from 1 species